AUUGAACGCUGGCGGCAGGCUUAACACAUGCAAGUCGAGCGGAGAUGAGGUGCUUGCACCUUAUCUUAGCGGCGGACGGGUGAGUAAUGCGUAGGAAUCUGACUAUUAGAUGGGGUCAUCAUUCCGUAAGGAAUGCUAAUACCGCAUACGUCCUACGGGGGAAAGGAGGGGCUCUUCGGACCGUGCGCUAAUAGAUGAGCCUAAGUCGGAUUAGCCAGUUGGUGGGGUAAAGGCCUACCAAGGCGACGAUCUGUAGCGGGUUUGAGAGGAUGAUCCGCCACACUGGGACUGAGACACGGCACAGACACCUACGGGAGGCAGCAGUGGGGAAUAUUGGACAAUGGGGGGAACCCUGAUCCAGCCAUGCCGCGUGUGUGAAGAAGGCCUUAUGGUUGUAAAGCACUUUAAGCGAGGAGGAGGCUACUGAGACUAAUACUCUUGGAUAGUGGACGUUACUCGCAGAAUAAGCACCGGCUAACUCUGUGCCAGCCGCCGCAGUAAGAC
rnacentral:rRNA from 1 species